UACGUAGGGCGCAAGCGUUAUCCGGAAUUAUUGGGCGUAAAGAGCUCGUAGGCGGUUUGUCGCGUCUGUCGUGAAAGCCCGGGGCUUAACCCCGGGUCUGCAUUCGAUACGGGCAGGCUAGAGUGUGGUAGGGGAGAUCGGAAUUCCUGGUGUAGCGGUGAAAUGCGCAGAUAUCAGGAGGAACACCGGUGGCGAAGGCGGGUCUCUGGGCCGAUACUGACGCUGAGGAGCGAAAGCGUGGGGAGCGAACAGG
rnacentral:rRNA from 1 species